GACGAACCGUGCGACCGUUAUUCGGAAUCACUGGGCUUAAAGGGCGCGUAGACGGGCGACCGCGUCGAUGGCUGAAAGCCCCCGGCUCAACCGGGGAACGGGCCUCGAUACGGGUCGCCUCGAGUGGAGGAGGGGGACCUGGAACUGCCGGUGGAGCGGUGAAAUGCGUAGAUAUCCGAAGGAACGCCGGUGGCGAAAGCGACGUGCUGGAUCUCUUCUGACGCUGAGGCGCGAAAGCUAGGGGAGCAAACGGG
rnacentral:rRNA from 1 species